ACCCGCGGCCCGCCCCUGGCCGCCCGACGGGAGGGAGGGAUCGGGUUCUCCUAGGAAGUUUCAGUAUGCAUUCUUAGAAACCAGAUAUACAAAGACAAGCUCUCUGCUUUCAAGAAGCUCUCAAUCUGAUCGAGGAGAGAAACAGGUAGCAAAUAAUGACAGCAGAGCGUGUGUUUUUUGAAGAUAAAAUGAUUAAGUCAGAUUUUAAGAAUUGACUGUUGGAG
rnacentral:antisense_RNA from 1 species